rnacentral:rRNA from 1 species
AAGGGCGUAAAGGGUGUGUAGGCCGACAAUCCCCCCCCCCAAGGUGGUAAAUGGAAUUUUUCUGUAACGGUAGAAUGUGUGGAUAGAAAAUAGAACCCCAAAGGCAAAAGCAAUUUACCUCGGGGAAGGGGUGGAAACCAGAUAUUCCCGAUCGGGACCUAUCACUCCCCCCCGAGCACAGGCUGAAACACGAGGGUGUGGGUAACAAACAGGAUUAGAGACCCUGGUAGUCCACACUGUAAACGAUGAAGAAAAUGUUAAUGCAACCCCGAAAGGUAGUAAUCUUCCGCCUGAGUAGUACGAUCGCAAGAUUAAAAUUCAAAAAAUUUGGCUGUUCACUGUUUCGAUUAGAGGAGCGUGUAGUUUAAUUCGAUAAACCGCGAGAUACCUUACCCAAACUUGAAUCACCCAUCCGAGAUUGAAUGGUCUCGGGAGGGUAGACCGGUAUUGCAUGGCCGUCGUCAGUUCGUGUAUGAAACCUUUAACGGACCUAACCCGGGGGUUAGCCGCGGAUGAAGUCAGGUCUUAUGAUCCCUAUGUUUGGGGAUAAUAUGCGCUACAUUUUCUUAUACAAUGGGAAACCUGAAAGGUGAAACCCCAAAGUAGGAGUUCGGUAGGUCAUUGUAAGAUGACCGAAAGUUGAAUUUAAUAGUAAUCGGAAAGUAGA